rnacentral:rRNA from 1 species
GACGAACGCUGGCGGCGUGCUUAACACAUGCAAGUCGAACGGAAAGGCCCUGCUUUUGUGGGGUGCUCGAGUGGCGAACGGGUGAGUAACACGUGAGUAACCUGCCCUUGACUUUGGGAUAACUUCAGGAGACUGGGGCUAAUACCGGAUAGGAGCUCCUGCUGCAUGGUGGGGGUUGGAAAGUUUCGGCGGUUGGGGAUGGACUCGCGGCUUAUCAGCUUGUUGGUGGGGUAGUGGCUUACCAAGGCUUUGACGGGUAGCCGGCCUGAGAGGGUGACCGGCCACAUUGGGACUGAGAUACGGCCCAGACUCCUACGGGAGGCAGCAGUGGGGAAUAUUGCACAAUGGGCGGAAGCCUGAUGCAGCAACGCCGCGUGCGGGAUGACGGCCU